UUUAUUUUUAUCUGACUGUAUUUUCUUUCUACCUUUUAGAUGAUGUAUUUAUUUUUAUAGGAAUUUAGGCUUUGGAAUAUGUUCUGCAAACAGUGGCCAAAUCUACAGUAACCUUUACCAAAGAUUUCGGUUAUGAUUUACCCAAGAAUCAGAGAACCACUGUAAUUAUAAGUGUAUCAUGUAGCUACUCAGAUUUUUAUUGCACUUAAACCCGGUCAGUACCCUGAUAUAGGAAAGAAAGUCUACCCUAUUAGCUUCUACUGUAUUUCAUUUGAAAAAAAAAAAAGCUGAAACUGUAAAUCCAAUCUUUCAUUCCCUGUGGACCAAAAAUCUCAUAGGGAGCUUUGUGUAUGAACUGUUGGAUCAGACUGCUGGAGAGAAAAGUCCCUUGUUAGACUGAGAACUCACUUGGCAGCAUAUGCUGUUGUAAUGUAUACACUUUAAACUAAACCUACACCAUCUGUUCUGCAGUAAUUACAGAUGCAGUAUUCACAUGAUGCACAGCUGCAUUACAGAAAGGAAAGAAACAAGUGGAUCAUAUACCAGAAUUGUGUCAGAUUUCAGGACUAUCAGAUAACAGCUUGAAGAGAAAAAAGAAGAAAAGAAAAAUGGAAAGAAGCAGAUUUUCUCAGAAGUCACACAGUAUUUCUUCUAGAAUUAUGUUUGUUGUUCUAUAUAGAAAUCUGUUAUUUUUUUCUCUUUUCAUUUCCUUUAGCCACGUGGGCUCUGAAAAGCUUUUUUCUCGUUAUGCAGAGUGUCUUUCAGUAAUUCUAUAAUGGGGAUUAAGAAAAUAAAAAUCCCAGUAGGAGUCUAAUGACUAAAUUACACAAUAUUUGUUUAUUGUUUGAAGGAGAUAUAACUUACAAGAUAUGCAAGUAAAACAAAUAAAUGUUCUUAGGGAUUAGAGGUUGCCUGCAUAAUAAUGCAGCUGUCAUCAUAAAAUAUUUUAAUUUGAAUUAGACAUUAAGAAUAACACUUAGUAGGGAAUUGUUUUUCAUGUAAAGUCACUUAUACAUAAACACUUAACUUUUAGUAAUGUGUAAUUAUAAAUAAAAUUUCUAAUUAAAUCUAAAUGAAAACAUAUGCUAUUGAUUGCUUCUUGAAGUGACUAAUGCUAUAUGUUUUCAAGGUUUCAUAGCUUGAAAACUUAAGUUUUUUAAUGUUGCAAACUUUAAAUCUAUGACCAAGAAAUUUUGAGUUAAUUGCCCUUGGAGAGGAAAGGAAGAUCAUGAAUGUUUUGCAGUGAGUGGCUCUAUUUGUUCAGCCUAAGUUGAAGUGUUUAUAACCUCUAACAGUUACUGUGCUCCUGACAGUUGCAUCAUGCCAUGAACACUGGCUCAGACAUGUAAAAGUCUGCAUGUUCUUUCUCCGUUCAUAUUUAUACUCAACUAUUCUAUGUAUGCAUAUACUAGUCCAUGUUUAAUAUCAGAUACUGCUUUAGCCUUCAUGCUUAUUUGUAUCAGUAAAAGCCCAAUUUACAUUAGUAUAUAAAAUUACUGGACAUUCAUACUCACAGUUAAACCUUGCUCUGUAGUCUGGCAGUCUGUGACAGCUUUAAAAAAAUGAGUUAUACUGAUGUGUUAGUGGAUGGGACUAGGUCAACAGGAUGCAAUGUGAAACCCUGCAUCUUCAAAUCACCAGUUCAAAAAUAGAGUUAGUCAUCUUUGAUACAGCACAAAAUGGCUGUUCACUGACAGAACUUUCUACUUGGGGAAAAAUCACUGGAUAAUUCACAUAGUUUUAGGCAGGACCUUAAAGGGUAAACCAACAUUUAUGUGAUUUUGUGCAGUAACUGAUUAAACCAAAUUAGUUGAAAAACUACAGUCCUGUGUUUUUUCCCCUGUCCAGACUGCAACAAAUUUUGUUACUUAUCUCAACAAGGACAGCUGAAUAAGUCAUCUGCCUGCUCUUUCGCGAAGGCAGCAUGUGAGCACUGGUCUAGGUUUGCCUUGAUAUACUGAAAUGUUGCUGGAGGCCAGGGUAAGCAUCUGGGUUUGAAAGUUGUUAACUGUACAAGUGUAUACUGCUGGUACAUGUGAACAGAUAUCCAAAAGCACCCUCAUCCUACCUGAUGGAGUUCAAGGUUGAGUCAUAAAGAUAACACAGAAGAAGUUUAAAUGUCCUCCAUAUGUUGUACCUGCAAUAAAAGAUCUCUAUUAAUGUC